rnacentral:rRNA from 1 species
UACGGAGGGUGCAAGCGUUGCUCGGAAUUAUUGGGCGUAAAGGGUAGGUAGGUGGUCUCAUUUGUCUGGGGUGAAAGCCUUGGGCUUAACUCAAGAAGUGCCCCAGAAACGGUGAGACUAGAGUCCUGGAGAGGGUCGUGGAAUUCCCGGUGUAGCGGUGAAAUGCGUAGAGAUCGGGAGGAACACCAGAGGCGAAAGCGGCGACCUGGACAGGUACUGACACUCAACUACGAAAGCGUGGGGAGCAAACAGG